rnacentral:rRNA from 1 species
GUGAGGAAUUUUCCGCAAUGGGCGAAAGCCUGACGGAGCAAUGCCGCGUGAAGGAUGAAGGCCUAUGGGUUGUAAACUUCUUUUCUCAGAAAAGAAUUAUGACGGUAUCUGAGGAAUAAGCAUCGGCUAACUCUGUGCCAGCAGCCGCGGUAAGACAGAGGAUGCAAGCGUUAUCCGGAAUGAUUGGGCGUAAAGCGUCUGUAGGUUGUUUAAAAAGUAUUCUGUCAAAGAUUAGGGCUUAACCCUAGAUAGGCAGAAUAAACUUUUAAGCUAGAGUUUGGUAGAGGCAGAGGGCAUUCCCGGUGGAGCGGUGAAAUGCGUAGAUAUCGGGAGGAACACCAAAGGCGAAGGCACUCUGCUGGGCCAAUACUAACACUGAGAGACGAAAGCGAGGGGAGCAAAUGGGAUUAGAAACCCUGGUAGUCC